UCGGGAGGGCCGGCGGCGGGUGGGCGCGGAGUGCGGGGUCGCCGCCACUGCGCGCGCCGCGCCUCGGGGGGAACUAGAAUGCGUUCGGGAGCUGCCUGCCGGGCCCGGGCACCCCCAGUGCCUGGCACUCCGCGGGCGCUCAAUAAAUAUUUGUUGAAUGAAUGAGCAGUUGACUACCGCGUUCACCCCCUGGAGCUUUAACUGACACCGAGAGGACCGGAAGCCGGGCUCCAGGGCGGACGCGACCUCCCGGGGCCACCGUUGAUAGCUUUCAAAGCGGGCGUGUUUGUCUCCCGAGCCCCACUGUAUAUGCUUCAGGCCCCAGAGAACUUGGAUCCUGUCCCUGGGUGUGAUAGACAAGGACUUAAUCACCUUUAGGACUUCCUCAGGGAUUCCUCCACGUGGACCCCUAGGAGCUGAAGCAUUUGCAUUAUAGAAUGGGGACUUCGCAAAGGUAUUUCAGUUGUCUCUGUUCAAGGAAA